AUUGAACGCUAGCGGGAUGCUUUACACAUGCAAGUCGAACGAGUGGCGGACGGGUGAGCAAUAUAUCGGCACGUGCCCAGUCGCGGGGGCUAACUACUCGAAAGAGUGGCUAAUACCGCAUACUAUUGUAUCGGCCGAUACUGGAUUAGCUAGUUGGUGGGGUAAAGGCUCACCAAGGCAACGAUCCUUAGCUGGUUUGAGAGGACGACCAGCCACACUGGGACUGAGACACGGCCCAGACUCCUACGGGAGGCAGCAGUGGGGAAUUUUGGACAAUGGGGGAAACCCUGAGCCAGCCAUCCCGCGUGUAUGAGAAGGCCUUCGGGUUGUAAAGUACUUUUGGCAGAGAAGCGGUAUCUGCAGAAUAAGCACCGGCUAACUACGUACCAGCAGCCGCGGUAAUAC
rnacentral:rRNA from 1 species